CAUGCAUGUCUAUAGUACAAACGGAUUAACAGUGAAACUGCGUACGGCUCAUUACAUCAGCUAUAACUUUCUUUGAUCAUAAAAAUUAAAUGGAAUAACUGAGGAAAAGCCUGAGCUAAUACAUGCGAUUAUUCCGGUAGCAAUAUCGGAAUGCUUUUAUUAGAUCAAAAUCAACUGGUCUUUAACCAAGACUGUUUGUUGGUGACUCUAAAUAACUUUUUGUUGAUCGUAUGACCUCUGUGUCGACGACAUAUCUUUCAAGUGUCUGACUUAUCAACUUUAGACGGUACAUUACUUGUCUACCGUGGUUUUCACGAGUACGGGGAAUUAGGGUUCGAUUCCGGAGAGGGAGCCUGAGAAAUGGCUACCACUUCCAAGGAAGGCAGCAGGCGCGCAAAUUACCCACUCUCAAAACGAGGAGGUAGUGACGAAGAAUAACGAUGUUAGUCUAUUAUAGGCUGACAAUCGGAAUGAAAACACUGUAAAAAGGUUAUUGUAAGCUAAAGUUGUUGCAGUUAAAAAGCUCGUAGUUGAAUUUCGGGUAUUUGUUGCCAGUUAAUUUAAAUGAUUAUAUUGGUUGACAGAUCCUCAUUUGCUGGUUUGCUGUCAAUGCUCUUUAUCGGGUGUCGUCAGUUGCCAGAACGUUUACUUUGAGAAAAUUAGAGUGCUAAAAGCAGGCUAACGCCAGAAUAAAUUCAUGGAAUAAUAAAAUAAGAACUCGAUUUUAUUUUGUUGGUUUUAAGAAUUGAGUUAAUGAUUAAUAGGAUCAGAGGGGGGCGUACGUACUGUAGUGUGAGAGGUGAAAUUCUUGGAUCGCUACAGGACGAACAACUGCGAAAGCAUUCGCCAAGAAUGUUUUCAUUAAUCAAGAACGAAAGUUUGAGGUUCGAAGACGAUUAGAUACCGUCCUAGUUCAAACCAUAAAGGUUGCCAACUGUCUUUUAGAUGCGGUUAUUUAUAUGACUCAUCUAGCGGAUCUCGAGAAAUCUAAGUGUUUAGGUUCCGGGGGAAGUAUGGUUGCAAAGCUGAAACUUAAAGGAAUUGACGGAAGGGCACACAAGAAGUGGAGCCUGUGGCCUAAUUUGACUCAACACGGGAAAACUUACUUGGCCAGGACACUUUUAGGAUUGACAGAUUGAGAGCUCUUUCUUGAUUAGGUGGGUGGUGGUGCAUGGUCGUUCGUAGUUCGUGGAGCGAUUUGUCUGAUUAAUUUCGAUAACGAACGAGACUCCGGCUUACUAAAUAGUUUAAAGUUCGAAGGGACUUUUUACAACUUCUUAGCAGGAUAAAUGGCAGUUUAAGCCACACGAAAUGGAGCAAUAACAGGUCUGUGAUGCCCUUAGAUGUCCAAGGCUGCACGCGCGCUACACUGGAGAGUUCAGAAUGUUUUUCCUGCUUCGACAGAAGUGGGUAACCAAUAAUUCUCUUCGUGACUGGGAUCGGAGCUUGCAAUUAUUCUCCGUUAACGAGGAAUUCCUAGUAAGCACUAAGUCAUCAACUUGUGCUGAUUACGUCCCUGCCCUUUGUACACACCGCCCGUCGCUACUACCGAUUGAAUGUUUUAGUGAGAUCUUCAGCUUGGUUUUCCGAUCGACCUUCGGGUCGUUCGGUCUUUAUCGAAAAGAUGUUCAAACUGGAUCAUUUAGAGGAAGUAAAAGUCGUAACAA
rnacentral:rRNA from 1 species